rnacentral:rRNA from 1 species
CUAACUCAUGCAAGUCGAGCGGAUGAAGGGAGCUUGCUCCUGGAUUCAGCGGCGGACGGGUGAGUAAUGCCUAGGAAUCUGCCUGGUAGUGGGGGAUAACGUCCGGAAACGGGCGCUAAUACCGCAUACGUCCUGAGGGAGAAAGUGGGGGAUCUUCGGACCUCACGCUAUCAGAUGAGCCUAGGUCGGAUUAGCUAGUUGGUGGGGUAAAGGCCUACCAAGGCGACGAUCCGUAACUGGUCUGAGAGGAUGAUCAGUCACACUGGAACUGAGACACGGUCCAGACUCCUACGGGAGGCAGCAGUGGGGAAUAUUGGACAAUGGGCGAAAGCCUGAUCCAGCCAUGCCGCGUGUGUGAAGAAGGUCUUCGGAUUGUAAAGCACUUUAAGUUGGGAGGAAGGGCAGUAAGUUAAUACCUUGCUGUUUUGACGUUACCAACAGAAUAAGCACCGGCUAACUUCGUGCCAGCAGCCGCGGUAAUACGAAGGGUGCAAGCGUUAAUCGGAAUUACUGGGCGUAAAGCGCGCGUAGGUGGUUCAGCAAGUUGGAUGUGAAAUCCCCGGGCUCAACCUGGGAACUGCAUCCAAAACUACUGAGCUAGAGUACGGUAGAGGGUGGUGGAAUUUCCUGUGUAGCGGUGAAAUGCGUAGAUAUAGGAAGGAACACCAGUGGCGAAGGCGACCACCUGGACUGAUACUGACACUGAGGUGCGAAAGCGUGGGGAGCAAACAGGAUUGGAUACCCUGGUAGUCCACG